rnacentral:rRNA from 1 species
AGAGUUUGAUCAUGGCUCAGAUUGAACGCUGGCGGCAUGCUUUACACAUGCAAGUCGAACGGCAGCGCGGGCUUCGGCCUGGCGGCGAGUGGCGAACGGGUGAGUAAUACAUCGGAACGUGCCCAGUAGUGGGGGAUAGCCCGGCGAAAGCCGGAUUAAUACCGCAUACGACCUGAGGGUGAAAGCGGGGGACCGAAAGGCCUCGCGCUAUUGGAGCGGCCGAUGUCGGAUUAGCUAGUUGGUGGGGUAAAGGCCUACCAAGGCGACGAUCCGUAGCUGGUCUGAGAGGACGACCAGCCACACUGGGACUGAGACACGGCCCAGACUCCUACGGGAGGCAGCAGUGGGGAAUUUUGGACAAUGGGGGCAACCCUGAUCCAGCCAUGCCGCGUGCGGGAAGAAGGCCUUCGGGUUGUAAACCGCUUUUGUCAGGGAAGAAAUCCUCUGGGCUAAUACCCCGGGGGGCUGACGGUACCUGACGUACCUCACCGGCUCCCUACCUGCCA